rnacentral:tRNA from 9 species
UGCGGGGUGGAGCAGCCUGGUAGCUCGUCGGGCUCAUAACCCGAAGGUCAUCGGUUCAAAUCCGGUCCCCGCUACCA